rnacentral:rRNA from 1 species
AUUGAACGCUAGCGGCAGGCCUAACACAUGCAAGUCGAACGAGUGGCGGACGGGUGAGUAAUGUAUUGGAAAGUGCCCAGUAGCGGGGGAUAACUACUGGAAACGGUAGCUAAUACCGCCUACUAUCCUAUGUGCCCAUAUGGGAGUAGCUAGUUGGUUGGGUAAAGGCUCACCAAGGCGACGAUCCCUAGCUGGUCUGAGAGGAUGACCAGCCACACUGGGACUGAGACACGGCCCAGACUUCUACGGGAGGCAGCAGUGGGGAAUAUUGCACAAUGGGCGAAAGCCUGAUGCAGCCAUGCCGCGUGUAUGAAGAAGGCCUGCGGGUUGUAAAGUACUUUCAGCGGGGAGGCGUUACCCGCAGAAGAAGCACCGGCUAACUCCGUGCCAGCCGCCGCGGUAAUUC